UGAGGCAGGAAAAAGGGAAUAACUUAUGUGGAUACUACGUCUGCACCUUCAUGCGUGACAUGUCCUGUCCCAAGGGUGGGGAUCCCCAAAUACACCACACUCGUAUGACACGCCUGCGGGACACUCUCAUAACAGCGGAUCAAAUAAAAGCAAUUCAAGAGGAAAUCGCGGGAUUCUUUAUUACCGAGGUCCUUACCCCAGGUGGAGAGCACUAUCGGAAGAUCGUGACGUCGGACGAUAUUCGUUCAGGAAAAGUUGUAUUGUAAAUAUGCAUGCAUUACGUGUACUGUGUUGACUAUGUCGUGUACUGUUGACGAUGUCUAUAUAUAUUCAUGACGAUUUUUUGUGGUUU